rnacentral:SRP_RNA from 1 species
GCACCCCUCCUGGUCCAGAACGAGCGAGAAAGAUUUCCCGCUC